GAGAAACUGCACCGCCAGAACGCCUUGCCAAAUCCCACAGGAGCUCAGUGGUGGAAGCAGGUGCUAAUUAUCGUUCGGAUGAACAGGAUAUGCAUUUUUUUGGGAGUGGCGGAGGAAGACCACAGUGGGAAAUGGCACAAAGGCUGGCACCUCACCAAGAACGGCAGGGAUGGAGAAGCAGUUAACAAUGGAGGAGCUGCUUUAAUUCUCCUCCUUUCUUUUCAGGCUUUGGAUGCAGCUCUCCUCCUCCUUGAUUCAAGGGUUCUUCUUCCAUGGCCAAGAAUAAUAUCAGAAGAGGCGGAGAACCUCUGGAUGCCCUGCUCCUUGUCGGUGGGAUCUACCUCUUAGCUAUUGGAAGAAUGCUUAGAUGAUUUCCAACACUGUAGUGGACAACAGCACCAUCUGAAGCACUCGGUGAAACCCAAAUACGUUCUGGUCAGCUUCCAGUUUGAGCGGACGGGUCUAGAGAGGUGGCUUAGUUUCAGUAUUUUGAAGAACUCCUCACUUCUUCUGAAGCCGGUGCUCUUUAACAGGCUGAUACUUCUGCUGAGAAAAGAAGCCUUUUCCAGGCUUGAUAUCUCUUAUUUUAUUGUAUUCA